rnacentral:lncRNA from 1 species
GGUUACUUCCUUGCUCCUGAAAAUGACAAUGUUCUAUUUUCUACUAUUUCUGUCUAAAAAUUUAAACAGGUCCUGAGAAGAGGAUUAGAAAAAGGCAACACAUCAAAAAGUUAAGAGGCAGAAAUAGCUUUUAUGUUGCUGGUAAAUUUAAUGAGAUCUUAAAUUAUUCGACUGGCAAGUCUCAUCUCUGAGCAUUUCAGUGAAGACUGUCAGAAAUCAUCAAAAUUCAACACAACAGAGUAAAAGCUAAUAGCCUUUUUGUUAUACCAAAACUGAAAGGAUUGAUGUUCUUAAGUAACAAAAAGCAAUAAAGAUAAAAUACAGGACAUCAAAGAUAUCACAUACAUUCAUAUAUCUCAAGCAAUGAAAGAGCUGUGAUAUGAUCCAUAUUUUUUGUUU